GGGCGGCGCAAUGACGCAAGUAUCGCGUUUUCGGCCCGAGGAACCGCCGCGUUUCUGAGGAGACACCGCAAGUGGCAGUUACCACCAAACUAGAACCUGCACUGUCGGCCGCCUCCCUCACCAGCGUCACCAUGGGGGCUGUGCUGGGCGCCUUCUCCCUCGCUAGCUGGGUUCCAUGCCUCUGCAGUGGUGCCUCGUGUUUGCUGUGUAGUUGCUGUCCCAACAGUAAGAAUUCCAGCGUGACUCGCCUCAUCUAUGCUUUCAUUCUCCUCCUGGGCACUGUUGUAUCCUGUAUCAUGCUGGGGGAAUGGAUGGAAACUCCGCUGAAGAAGAUUCCUGGAUUCUGUGAAGGGGGAUUUAAAAUCAAGGUGACUGAUCUAAAGGUGGAUAAAGAUUGCAAUGUGCUGGUUGGUUUUAAAGCUGUCUAUCGGAUCAACUUUGCCUUGGCCAUCUUUUUCUUUGUCUUCUCUCUACUCAUGGUAAAAGUAAAAACGAGUAAAGAUCCCAGAGCAGCAGUGCACAAUGGGUUUUGGUUCUUCAAAAUUGCCGCCAUUGUUGGUAUCAUGGUUGGAUCUUUCUACAUCCCUGGGGGCCCUUUUACCACAGCUUGCUUUUUUAUUGGUAUGGGAGGGGCCUUCUUCUUCAUCCUCAUCCAGCUGGUGCUGUUGGUAGACUUGGCCCACUCUUGGAAUGAAUCAUGGGUAAAUCGAAAGGAAGAAGGAAACCCGAGGUGCUGGUAUGCUGCUUUACUGUCUGUCACAAGCAUCUCUUAUAUCCUGUCAAUUGUCUUUGUCGCGUUGCUCUACAAACACUACACCAAACCAGAUGGCUGCACAGAAAACAAGUUUUUCAUCAGUUUUAAUCUGAUCCUUUGCAUUGUGGUUUCUCUUAUAUCAAUCCAUCCAAAAAUUCAGGAACAUCAGCCUCGUUCUGGCCUCCUGCAGUCCUCUGUCAUCACCCUCUACACCAUAUACCUCACGUGGUCAGCCAUGUGCAAUGAACCUGAUCGUUCCUGUAACCCUAGACUGUUGAGCAUCAUUGCACAUAUGACUGCACCAACCUUGGCUCCUGGAAAUUCAACUGCUCUAGUCCCGACUUCUGCUCCAUCACCAACAAGUGGGCAGUUUCUGGAUACAGAGAAUUUUAUUGGGCUGAUGGUCUUCGUUUUCUGCCUUUUGUCUUCUAGCAUCCGUACUUCCAAUAAUAGCCAAGUAAGUAAGCUGACCUUGUCAGGAAGUGAGAGCGUGAUCCUCCGUGAUACAGCUACCAGUGGUGCCAGUGAUGAAGAAGAUGGACAGCCUCGGCGGGUUGUGGACAAUGAGAAGGAGGGGGUGCAGUACAACUACACCUUCUUCCACUUCAUGCUCUGCUUGGCUUCCUUGUACAUCAUGAUGACCCUGACCAGGUGGUACAGCCCCGAUGCAGAGUUCCAGAGCAUGACCAGCACGUGGCCAGCUGUGUGGGUCAAGAUCAGCUCCAGCUGGGUCUGCCUCCUCCUCUAUGUCUGGACUCUGGUGGCACCGCUCGUCCUCACCAAUCGAGACUUCAGCUGAACCUCUGAGAAUUCAUAAAGGUUUAUAAUAUAUCACCAGAGCUUCAGGGAUGGAAGGAGUGUAUACAAGAACCUGAUGAUCUCUCACCUGCCCUCACAAAAGCCAUCCUUUGCAAGUUUAAUCCUCACUACAAAAAAGGAUGUUGAUAUUGCUGAGUCCCAGAUCGUCUUACAGGUCUAGAAAAAUACUGAUCCAAACUCAUCUGGACACUGAAGCCCCCCAGUAUUUAGCAGGGGCAUCCAAAGAGGAGUGGAAGCCAAGGGGAGCUGGAGUACUGGCACGUAUCUGAUCACAACCAAAUGUGACCCUCAAGUUUAAGUAAUCAGCCUGGUGAACAGUAGGGGCUCACACACUGUGAAAUUCCAUGAGGACUGUUGUAUCUCUGGUGCCCCCCACAGCUCACGAGAGACAGCGCCCCAUGGGCUGGGUCAGAGUGCAAGAGUUUUCAAAGCUGUUGGAGCUGAGAGACCUGGGCCAGGCCACCCUCCAGUCCUCAGUUUUCCCAUCUAUCAAAAGGAAAAAAAUCCUUCCUGCCUUGUCCCUCUCACUGGAUUCCCUGAAGGACUGAGUGGGUUAUAAGGACUGUGAAAGUGCUUUGCGAACCAUUCAACCCCGAGCAGACACAUAAGGAGCUUUACAGUUCCCAGCAAUUCAAGCCUUGCAACGCAGAGCAAGAGAUAUUAAAGUAUCUGGCCAAAGCAGUCUAGCAGUGCUCCAUGGCCCCAGGUCCUGUAGAAGGCAGAAGAGGCUCUACCACCUCAGGUAGAAGCAUUUCUUUGGUUUUUUGGUCUCAUGCCCUAAAGCUGUUCUUGCCCAGAAUGAAGGUUCCUCAGUAACUACUGGAAAUCCUGAUGAGAAUGAGUGGUAAGUAGGAGUUUUACAUUUCUUCCCAUAAUGCUUUUGUAUUGUGCUGAUUGUAGGAGUGGGAGGUCAGGUUUGUGUGUAACUUGAGAUCAGCUGUAAAUGGUCAGGGCCCCCAGGAAGGCCACAACAACCACAGAACAGACAGACAACAAACAGGGGCCAUACCUGAAGGAUGCCAAUCACCUUUUUGGCUAUAAAAGGACCGAAGUGAGAUGCUUUUGAUAAGCUCACUCCUUUGUAGUCUGCAAGAAUUACAAUUCCAUUCACCUGGGUUUCUUCAGAUUGAAUGAGUUUUUCUAAUGUCAAAUAUACAGCUCGGAUGUUUUCAGUAAUUGGGUAGUUGCUUGGUAUCCAUCUGUCUUAAGGUCAUAAGAGAUGGGUGGUACGUUACAGAAAUGAAUACAAACAAGUAAUUAGACAGGCUAAGAUUUAUCUCCUUACUAAAAACUUUAAAAAUGGAAAAGAAAGAUACCCUGCUGGCAUGAUUCUGUUUAGGACAGUAAAUGGGACACCCUAAGCAGCAGCUGUGUUUCUUAACUCUAAACACAGUAUCACAUUCUGAAAUGGAAAUGCCAUUAAAUGUUGAAAUUAAAGGCAUGAGCUCUGAAGUCAGACACCUCUGGGGGUGUGAAUCUUACCAGCUGUGUGACCUUGGGCACGUUGCUUUCUCACUCUGGCCUACAUCUCUUCAGUAGAAUGGGAUAAUAAUACUUACCAUAAUGGACAUCUGUGCCUUCUGCCCUGCCAUCAGGUGUGUCCCCUGAUCUUCAUACCACCACCCUGGUUUUCCUUGGUGAACCACCCCUUCCCAUGUUAGCCAUGCAGUUUGGGUAAAACUGACUUGACUCCUCGCUCCAGAUGUGGGCUUGGUCAGUCUGGGUUUGACAUCCUCCUGGCCGCAGUGUGUGAUCCAAGCCAGGUCAAGCAGAGCUAAGGGGACUUAACUCUGGGACCCUGGCCCAUUGGAAAAAAAAGAUCUCUCUUUCCUCUUAGAGUGGUGAGGCUGGAAGCCUGAGACUCAGGGGCCCCGUGAGGUCAGAGCUAGCCUGAGAAUGAAGCCACACCAAGGACAGCAGAAAUGCAGACAGCUUUCCAAUGGCAUAGUUGGAGCAAAUUCCCCUUUCCAGGCCAGAUGCUCCUUUAGUACUCCCCGUAUAAUUAAGGAGUCUUUCCUUUCUUUGGGAAAAGAUGAAAAUGACACCUUUUACCUGUUAACCACUAUUCUCAAGAACAGUCAACCAAGAUCUGUGUGUCCCUUUCUUAGAAAGAUAAAACUUCAUGAUCGCCACCAAUGUAAUAUGUGCAAAAUUACUAUGAAAAAGAUCUCUGUCCAAAAUUAUGCCAGCUUGCUGUUUUAAUGUUGUUGCCAAUUAAACCUGCUUCUACAGAA